rnacentral:rRNA from 1 species
UGCAUCGAUGAAGAACGCAGCAAACUGCGAUAAGUAAUGUGAAUUGCAGAAUUUAGUGAAUCAUCGAAUCUUUGAACGCAAAUGGCGCUCUUGGGCAUUCCCAGGAGCACGUCUGUCUGAGCGUCGUUUCUCACAUCCCAUCUCAAAGAGAUGGGGCCAUGAGGUGUCCCUUUGCUGAUAAAGCGAACGGUCCCUUGAAGUAUAGCGAUCCCGAGUUGCGCGGAAGCCCCUUCGUGGCCUGCGCUUCUCGGUGUGGUAGCGAUAUCUCACCGAGCAGCCGAGCUUCGCAGGACGUCUAAAACCUUCUCAGUGGGACGACUGGAAAGGGUUCGAUUCUCCGGAGUCGUUCGACCAAUCAAGGCCUCAGAUCAGGCGAGACUACCCGCUGAACUUAAGCAUAUCAAUAAGCGGAGGA